AUGCAUUCCUAGUACGGCGAGUGAGAGGAAGAGCUCAAAGUUGGAACCUGUUUGGCCUAGCUAAACAGGAUUGUAAACUGUAGAAGUGUUUUCCAGGCAAUCCGAGUUAAUAAGUCCUUUGGAACAGGGCAUCAUAGAGGGUGAGAAUCCCGUCUUUGAUUCGAGAUAUUUUGUCUUUUGCGAUACACUUUCAAAGAGUCAGGUUGUUUGGGAAUGCAGCCUAAAUUGGGUGGUAAAUCUCACCUAAAGCUAAAUAUUGGCGAGAAACCGAUAGCGAACAAGUACCGUGAGGGAAAGAUGAAAAGAACUUUGAAAAGAGAGUUAAACAGUAUGUGAAAUUGUUAAAAGGGAACCGUUUGGAGCCAGACUGGCUUGUCUGUAAUCAAUCUAGGUUUCGUGCCUGGAUGCACUUGCRGACUAUUUGCCUGCCWACKACAAUUUUUUUUGAKUGUAAAAACUAUUGGAAAUGGGGCGGCUAUUAAUUUAUUGGUGUUAUGAARGUUUAGAAAGG
rnacentral:rRNA from 1 species